UAUUAAAACUUGGAAUUGUAAUUCUAAUCCUACCUUCACUAUCUGAGUGACUAUAGGCAAAUCAUUUCAUAUUUCUCUUUCUCUCCCUCUCUUGUCACUCACUGAAAAGGAAUAAUGAAUUUUGCCUAAUUUACCUCAUGGAUUGGUGUAAUGUAUGAUAAAUUAAUAGGUAUGAAAAAUAUUCUCAGAAAUUGAAUAUAAGACAUCACCUGUCUCCUCAGGUUGGAAGUGCUUUGGAAAUUCUAACAGGGAAGGAAGAGAAUGAAGACAUAGGAGAAGGAGCAGGACAGGGUCUAGAAGAACCAGCUUUUCUCUACACCUCAAGCACAAGGCCAAAAGAUGCAUUGUCCUAUCCCCACCAAUCCACCAGCGCCAGUUUAGCAUGACUUUCCAGAGAUGAGAUGGAUUUGAAAACCAUAACCUGGCUUCUUGAUGCAAGGACUCGCCACAUGAGAUAAUCUCCAGCACAUUACUAUUGGCAAGCAGAUCUUUCACCCUUUUGUCUCCAUGCAUUACAGAAAAUGUUAAAUCAGUUUGGUG
rnacentral:lncRNA from 12 species